UUCCAGCGGAUACCAUGCAAGAUUUGGUAUUCAUAUCAAUUGCUAAUCGUAUUUGUCAGGUACUGACACCCUGACAAAAUCAAAUUGGUUUGUGCUGCAACUUAGGCAAGCCUGAACAUGUCUUCAUCACACUUGUCAUCAUACUUUUAUUUUAUUUAUUCUUUUUCCCGACAAGUCCUAACAACCCUGGCAAUUAGUGAUCACCUGACAUCCCUGACAAUGCUGACACUCCUGACACUCCUGACAUCACUGACAUCACUGACACUCCUGACAUCCCUGACACUCCUGACAUCCCUGACACUCCUGACAUCCCUGACAACCCUGACAGUCCUGACAACCCUGACAUCCCUGACAUCCCUGACAUCCCUGACACUCCUGACAUCACUGACAUCACUGACAACCCUGACAGUCCUGACAACCCUGACAGUCCUGACAACCCUGACAGUCCUGACAUCCCUGACACGCCUGACAACCCUGACACUCCUGACAUCCCUGACACUCCUGACAUCCCUGACAACCCUGACAUCCCUGACACUCCUGACAUCACUGACAUCACUGACAUCACUGACAACCCUGACAACCCUGACAGUCCUGACAACCCUGACACGCCUGACACUCCUGACAACCCUGACACUCCUGACAUCCCUGACACUCCUGACAACCCUGACAGUCCUGACAACCCUGACAUCCCUGACACUCCUGACAUCACUGACAACCCUGACAGUCCUGACAGUCCUGACACUCCUGACAACCCUGACACUCCUGACAACCCUGACAUCCCUGACAACCCUGACAUCCCUGACAACCCUGACAUCCCUGACACUCCUGACAUCACUGACAUCACUGACAACCCUGACAGUCCUGACAACCCUGACAGUCCUGACAACCCUGACAGUCCUGACAUCCCUGACACGCCUGACAACCCUGACACUCCUGACAUCCCUGACACUCCUGACAUCCCUGACAACCCUGACAACCCUGACACUCCUGACAUCCCUGACACUCCUGACAUCCCUGACACUCCUGACAUCCCUGACAACCCUGACAGCCCUGACAACCCUGACAUCCCUGACACUCCUGACAUCACUGACAUCACUGACAACCCUGACAGUCCUGACAACCCUGACAGUCCUGACACGCCUGACACUCCUGACAACCCUGACAACCCUGACAUCCCUGACACUCCUGACAUCACUGACAUCCCUGACAACCCUGACACUCCUGACAUCCCUGACACUCCUGACAUCACUGACAUCACUGACAACCCUGACAGUCCUGACAACCCUGACAGUCCUGACAUCCCUGACAACCCUGACAUCCCUGACACUCCUGACAUCACUGACAUCACUG